rnacentral:misc_RNA from 1 species
CCUUUGGUUUCCGGCGCUUGUAUGCAAGAGAAAGAUUCAUCAACGUUGCAAUCCUUCUAAAUCCACCCAUGCGUGUUAUAGCCUUCUCAAUAUCUACCCUACCAUGCAGACGAAGCUGCUUUCUCAUGGGCAUAAAUCCUUCUUGUCCAUGUUCUGAUAUAAACUUCAGGAGCUCAGACUUCAGAACUUCAAUAUUCCUCUGCAGGCCAGGAACCCUAGGUCUUUGUCUUUGUGAAUUUGGGUUAUUCAAAUCAAUAACCUUCACAAUUUUCUUGCUAUACUCAGUAUCUCCCAUACCAUUAGAUGGAUCU